UAGUUCAGCACUAAGUCACUUUGUCUUUAUGGCAAAUGUGAGAUGCAGUGUAUGGAACAUCUUAAAUCUAGUAUGAGAAAUUAACGAUUUAAGUCCUUCUUAAAUGAGGCCAUUUACCCAUAGAGGGUGCCAGGCCCGUAUAACGUUAAUGAUUACUAGAAGAUGUUUCCAAAGAGUCGUGUUGCUUGAUAGUGCAGCACUAAGUGGGUGGUAAACUCCAUCUAAAACUAAAUAUAACCAUGAGACCGAUAGUAAACAAGUACCGUGAGGGAAAGUUGAAAAGAACUCUGAAUAGAGAGUUAAAUAGUACGUGAAACUGCUUAGAGGUUAAGCCCGAUGAACCUGAAUAUCCAUUAUGGAAAAUUCAUCAUUAUGAUUGUAAUAUUUAAACAAUAUUAUAAUAAUAGUGUGCAUUUUUUCCAUAUAAGGACAUUGUAAUCUAUUAACAUAUCAAUUUAUCAAAAGAUCAUUUGCUUAUGUUUAUUCAAAUUAAUUUGCUUGCAUGUUAACAUAGAAUAAAUGCUUAUGAUUUGAUAAAGUGUUGAUAGAUUUUAUUAUAUAUAGUGCUUAAAUUCUUUGAAUUUUAUAAUGGCAUUGAAAUCAUUGAUUUUAGUGUUUAUUAUAUGCGCUUAUAUGAUUAACAAUGCG
rnacentral:rRNA from 1 species